rnacentral:rRNA from 1 species
GUAGUCGAUGGGAAACAGGUUAAUAUUCCUGUACUUGGUGUUACUGCGAAGGGGGGACGGAGAAGGCUAUGUUGGCCGGGCGACGGUUGUCCCGGUUUAAGCGUGUAGGCUGGUUUUCCAGGCAAAUCCGGAAAACCAAGGCUGAGGCGUGAUGACGAGGCACUACGGUGCUGAAGCGACAAAUGCCCUGCUUCCAGGAAAAGCCUCUAAGCAUCAGGUAACAUCAAAUCGUACCCCAAACCGACACAGGUGGUCAGGUAGAGAAUACCAAGGCGCUUGAGAGAACUCGGGUGAAGGAACUAGGCAAAAUGGUGCCGUAACUUCGGGAGAAGGCACGCUGAUAUGUAGGUGAAGCGACUUGCUCGUGGAGCUGAAAUCAGUCGAAGAUACCAGCUGGCUGCAACUGUUUAUUAAAAACACAGCACUGUGCAAACACGAAAGUGGACGUAUACGGUGUGACGCCUGCCCGGUGCCGGAAGGUUAAUUGAUGGGGUUAGCGGUAACGCGAAGCUCUUGAUCGAAGCCCCGGUAAACGGCGGCCGUAACUAUAACGGUCCUAAGGUAGCGAAAUUCCUUGUCGGGUAAGUUCCGACCUGCACGAAUGGCGUAAUGAUGGCCAGGCUGUCUCCACCCGAGACUCAGUGAAAUUGAACUCGCUGUGAAGAUGCAGUGUACCCGCGGCAAGACGGAAAGACCCCGUGAACCUUUACUAUAGCUUGACACUGAACAUUGAGCCUUGAUGUGUAGGAUAGGUGGGAGGCUUUGAAGUGUGGACGCCAGUCUGCAUGGAGCCGACCUUGAAAUACCACCCUUUAAUGUUUGAUGUUCUAACGUUGGCCCGUAAUCCGGGUUGCGGACAGUGUCUGGUGGGUAGUUUGACUGGGGCGGUCUCCUCCUAAAGAGUAACGGAGGAGCACGAAGGUUGGCUAAUCCUGGUCGGACAUCAGGAGGUUAGUGCAAUGGCAUAAGCCAGCUUGACUGCGAGCGUGACGGCGCGAGCAGGUGCGAAAGCAGGUCAUAGUGAUCCGGUGGUUCUGAAUGGAAGGGCCAUCGCUCAACGGAUAAAAGGUACUCCGGGGAUAACAGGCUGAUACCGCCCAAGAGUUCAUAUCGACGGCGGUGUUUGGCACCUCGAUGUCGGCUCAUCACAUCCUGGGGCUGAAGUAGGUCCCAAGGGUAUGGCUGUUCGCCAUUUAAAGUGGUACGCGAGCUGGGUUUAGAACGUCGUGAGACAGUUCGGUCCCUAUCUGCCGUGGGCGCUGGAGAACUGAGGGGGGCUGCUCCUA